rnacentral:RNase_P_RNA from 1 species
GAAAGGCGAGGUAAGAGCUCACCACGGGAACGGAGACGUAUCCCGUCUGUAAACCCUAUCCGAUGCAACACUGAAUUAUGCUAUACGUCGGCCCGACGUGCAUAGACAAGUGGCUUGAGCCUGUCGGCAACGGCAGGUCGAGAUAGAUGGUCGUCGGGGAAUUUAUUCCCACACAGAACCCGGCUUACAGACCGAGUGACAUU